UAAAUUAAUUUUUUUGCAUAUCCAAUAAGCGGAGGAAAAGAAACCAACAGGGAUUGCCCUAGUAACGGCGAGUGAAGCGGCAACAGCUCAAAUUUGAAAGCUGGCCUUCGGGUCCGCAUUGUAAUUUGUAGAGGAUGCUUUGGGUGAAACGCCAGUCUAAGUUCCUUGGAACAGGACGUCAUAGAGGGUGAGAAUCCCGUAUGUGACUGGAAAUGUUAACCUAUGUAAAGCUCCUUCGACGAGUCGAGUUGUUUGGGAAUGCAGCUCUAAAUGGGAGGUAAAUUUCUUCUAAAGCUAAAUAUUGGCGAGAGACCGAUAGCGCACAAGUAGAGUGAUCGAAAGAUGAAAAGCACUUUGGAAAGAGAGUUAAAAAGCACGUGAAAUUGUUGAAAGGGAAGCGCUUGCAAUCAGACUUGUUUAAACUGUUCGGCCGGUCUUCUGACCGGUUUACUCAGUUUGGACAGGCCAGCAUCAGUUUCGGCGGCCGGAUAAAGGCUCUGGGAAUGUGGCCUUCACUUCGGUGAAGGUGUUAUAGCCCAGGGUGUAAUACGGCCAGCCGGGACUGAGGUCCGCGCUCGGCUAGGAUGCCGCGUAAGCCAGCGGG
rnacentral:rRNA from 1 species